rnacentral:pre_miRNA from 1 species
AUAAUAGUCACCUGGGGAUCUUGGUAAAACUCAGACUGAUUCAGAAAGUGUAGGGUGGAGUCUGAGGUCAUGCAGUUCUAAUAAGCUCCCAGGUGAUGCCAAU